rnacentral:rRNA from 1 species
AGUGAACGCUGGCGGUAGGCCUAACACAUGCAAGUCGAACGGCAGCACAGUAAUAGCUUGCUCUUACGGGUGGCGAGUGGCGGACGGGUGAGGAAUACAUCGGAAUCUACUUUUUCGUGGGGGAUAACGUAGGGAAACUUACGCUAAUACCGCAUACGACCUACGGGUGAAAGCAGGGGAUCUUCGGACCUUGCGCGAUUGAAUGAGCCGAUGUCGGAUUAGCUAGUUGGCGGGGUAAAGGCCCACCAAGGCGACGAUCCGUAGCUGGUCUGAGAGGAUGAUCAGCCACACUGGAACUGAGACACGGUCCAGACUCCUACGGGAGGCAGCAGUGGGGAAUAUUGGACAGUGGGCGCAAGCCUGAUCCAGCCAUACCGCGUGGGUGAAGAAGGCCUUCGGGUUGUAAAGCCCUUUUGUUGGGAAAGAAAAGCAGCAGGUUAAUACCCCGCUGUUCUGACGGUACCCAAAGAAUAAGCACCGGCUAACUUCGUG